CCCCUCAGCUGCGCUCGCCACACGCCCUCCGUUCGCACCGACUUCUCCCCAGCCUCGCAGACCCUGGCUGGAUACUGAGCCUCGGGAGGAGACGUGAGCAGCUGGCGCCGGAGUGGGGCACACCGCGGCGCCGGACCGGGAGGAGAGCUAGGCGUGAUCGAAGGGUAUGGUUGGCAUGGAAUUGAAUUUCAUCUAUCUAUGGGAAUUGUAAGCAAGCUGCCAUCACGAAAGCCAAAGUGGAUUUCUCCAGUGUGGUGUGCCUGCCCCCUUCCGUCAUUGCUGUGAAUGGGCUGG